GCUCGCUUUGCUGGUACAUCUACUAAAAUUAGAAGCAUAUAUACAAGAUCAGCAUGGCCUCUGUGCAAUGAAGACAUCAAGUUUAUGUAGUGCUCCAUAAUUUU